CGACGAUGGCUGGUCGCUUCCUUUGAUUCAAAAUGCCUUUUCUUCGGCUCGCCGGGGACGACGAUGGAGCGCUUCGAGAGUUGGUUUCAAUGGAUGAUCAAUGGUGAUUUCUAGGCAACUAGUGCUGUUUAAGAUGUAGAAACAGGGAUAAAACCCUAGAUUGCUUUGGAGGAGCGAGGUUUUCUUUUAAAGGAGCAAAAGAAGAUCUUAAUAAUAGCAUGAUAUUAACUCUUAGGCCUUUUAUUUUAAGUAUUUGCUUCCCUUUUGGGAAUAUCAUCUCUUCCCUUGGUUACCUAUUGAUGAAGAAAUGAGAAUUUGGCUUGCUAGAAGAUUCAGAUAAUUGUGUUAUUUGGUUAAGACAACAUGAUACUGAUUCGUGGACAUUUGAUCUUUGAUCAACCCAUUUUUCGAGAACAUCAUGUACUUCUUCAAUCAUUACACUAGUAUGGACUGUGAUGGUUCUUUACUCAGAAAAGUCUACUGUCACUGUCAAUAUUUGGCAUUUCUAUAUCAUGAAUGGCUUAAUUAUUUGUAGUCAUGUAUAUGUUGGUUUGUUGGCAUUGUUAAUUCUCUAAGAGAUGUGGAUUAUGAGUUGUUCACCCAGCCACACAAAUUCCUUUCUCCUUUAUAUGAACUUGCAUGAAGAUACAUUCACGGCAUUCAUCUGAAUUCUAUGUUCCGAGUAGAGUGUCCGCUGAAAUACAUCACCAGAUACAUUCUUUUC